rnacentral:ncRNA from 1 species
AACGCGUGAGCAGCCGGCCGCUGAGGCCUUCUUCACCCCUCGACGGUCGCUCGUUUUCAUGCCUGCUAAAGAUAGCGCUAAGCGCUAGUGGACCGUUGGUGCCUACCCCGAACGUGUUUUUUAAGCCUCUGUGCGUCGAACGACGCACGGAAGUCAGUGGUUUAACUACUUUUUUUUUGUUGUUGUUUGUUGUAGCUUCGAUAGAUUCCAGCAGGUCGGUGAUCUGGAAAUCCUAGUAGAAACCACCUUGCAUUAUGCAUCGUGUCCUGUCCAGAACAGGUUGUAUUUUUAUUUUUCGUUAACUUCCGGCAGGAAUACGUACUCAACGGUUCUUGCCGGAUUCAAGGGUAGGGAAGGCCGAUCACGUUGCAGCUUGCUGCACUGCCCUUGUCAUCCGGCAAGCCUUCUUUCUCCCAAAAAGACGUACACUAGGGUCCUUUUUCUUUACUACCGCCUUCGGCGGAAAUCUCUAGUACUAGCGAAAUGCCUCGUCAUCUAGUCAGUGACGCGCAUGACUGGAUUACCGAGAUUCCCACUGUCCCUAUCUACUAUCGAGCGAAACCACAGCCGAGGAAACGGGCUUGGAGAAAUCAGCGGGGAAAGAAGACCCUGUUGAGCUUGACUCUAGUCUGCACUGUGAAGACACAUGAGAGGUGUAUCAUAAUUGGGAGGCCGUGAACCCUCGUGGUUGUGUCGUGCCGACACUGAAAUACCACUACUUUAAUCGUUUCUUUACUUACUCGGUGAAGCGGAAAGAGGACCAUGAGUGUCCACGCUUCUAGCAUUAUGGGUAAGACCCUUCGUUGGCCCGCACGAUCUGUUCUGAGGACAGUGUCAGGCGGGGAGUUUGACUGGGGCGGUACAUCUGUCAAAUGGUAACGCAGGUGUCCUAAGGCGAGCUCAGCGAGGACAGAAACCUCGCGUAGAGCAAAAGGGGCAAAUGCUUGCUUGAUAUUGAUAUUCAGUACGAUAACAGACCGGGAAAGUGGGGCCCCUCGAUCCUUUUGACUUUGAGAGUUUUAAGCAAGCGGUGUCAGAAAAGUUACCACAGGGAUAACUGGCUUGUGGCGGCCAAGCGUUCAGAGUGACGUCGCUUUUUGAUCCUUCGAUGUCUGCUCU